UACAGAGGGUGCGAGCGUUGUUCGGAAUUAUUGGGCGUAAAGCGCGUGUAGGCGGCUUUGCAAGUCGGAUGUGAAAGCCCUGGGCUCAACCUAGGAAGUGCAUUCGAAACUUCCAAGCUGGAGUGCUGGAGAGGAAGGCGGAAUUCUCGGUGUAGAGGUGAAAUUCGUAGAUAUCGAGAGGAACACCGGUGGCGAAGGCGGCCUUCUGGACAGUCACUGACGCUGAGACGCGAAAGCGUGGGGAGCAAACAGG
rnacentral:rRNA from 1 species